rnacentral:misc_RNA from 1 species
AAGAGCUGCAGAUUGCUUUGACAUGUAUAAAGGCUUCUCGACGGGCAGAAGGUAAGCUUUCUGCCUUAUUAUUCUUGUUUUCUAUUUGUUCUUGUAAUGAAAGUUUAUAUUUAAUGUGUUCGUGACAGUGAAAUAUUUGCAGCUAUGGAUUGUUUUCUAGCAAGAGUUAGAACUCAUGUGGAUUUGCAAUUUGGUAUUAAAAUAAAACUCUCUUGCUAGUCCUAAACCAGAAAUUAUUUCAGCAUAACAAUUUCUUUGUGUAUUUUGUGAUUACUUAUUUGUAGAGAAGAACUGCUCUAUCUGCAGUUUGCUGCCUGACAUGUUGGUCCACAGAGUCACAAAGGAAGACAACAAACUAGGUGUUGAAGACCCUUUUCUUGGAGUGCAGUUAAGGUCCCUUUAUGAUGUAAAUCUUUA